rnacentral:rRNA from 1 species
GAUGAACGCUGGCGGCGUGCCUAAUACAUGCAAGUCGAGCGAACAGACGAGGAGCUUGCUCCUCUGACGUUAGCGGCGGACGGGUGAGUAACACGUGGAUAACCUACCUAUAAGACUGGGAUAACUUCGGGAAACCGGAGCUAAUACCGGAUAAUAUAUUGAACCGCAUGGUUCAAUAGUGAAAGACGGUUUUGCUGUCACUUAUAGAUGGAUCCGCGCCGCAUUAGCUAGUUGGUAAGGUAACGGCUUACCAAGGCAACGAUGCGUAGCCGACCUGAGAGGGUGAUCGGCCACACUGGAACUGAGACACGGUCCAGACUCCUACGGGAGGCAGCAGUAGGGAAUCCUCCGCAAUGGGCGAAAGCUUGACGGAGCAACGCCGCGUGAGUGAUGAAGGCCUUCGGAUCGUAAAACUCUGUUAUUAGGGAAGAACAAAUGUGUAAGUAACUAUGCACGUCUUGACGGUACCUAAUCAGAAAGCCACGGCUAACUACGUG